rnacentral:rRNA from 1 species
CCAAGCGACUGUUUACCAAAAACAUAGGUUUCUGCUAAGUCGCAAGACGAGGUAUAUGAGGUGACGACAGCCCGGUGCUGGAAGGGUAAGGUGUUCUGUUAGAGCAACAGAAGCAGUGAACUUAAGCCCCAGUACACGGCGGCCGUAACUAUAACGGUCCAAAGAUAGCGAAGUUCCUUGUCGGGUAAGUUCCGACCCGCACGAAAGGCGUAACGAUUUGGGCAGUGUCUCA